rnacentral:tRNA from 1 species
CGGGGUGUAGCUCAGCCUGGUAGAGCACCACGUUCGGGACGUGGGGGUCGUAGGUUCGAAUCCUGUCACCCCGACCA